rnacentral:rRNA from 1 species
CGGGUGAGUAAAGCAUCGGAACGUACCCUAGAGUGGGGGAUAACUAUCCGAAAGGAUAGCUAAUACCGCAUAUUCUAUGAGUAGGAAAGCGGGGGAUCUUCGGACCUCGCGCUCUAGGAGCGGCCGAUGUCAGAUUAGGUAGUUGGUGGGGUAAAGGCCUACCAAGCCGACGAUCUGUAGCGGGUCUGAGAGGAUGAUCCGCCACACUGGGACUGAGACACGGCCCAGACUCCCACGGGAGGCAGCAGUGGGGAAUUUUGGACAAUGGGGGCAACCCUGAUCCAGCCAUGCCGCGUGAGUGAAGAAGGCCUUCGGGUUGUAAAGCUCUUUCGGCCGGGAAGAAAUCGUGUGGGCUAAUACCCUGCAUGGAUGACGGUACCGGAAUAAGAAGCACCGGCUAACUACGUGCCAGCAGCCGCGGUAAUACGUAGGGUGCGAGCGUUAAUCGGAAUUACUGGGCGUAAAGCGUGCGCAGGCGGUUUUUUAAGACAGGCGUGAAAUCCCCGGGCUUAACCUGGGAACUGCGCUUGUGACUGGAAGGCUAGAGUACGGCAGAGGGGGGUGGAAUUCCACGUGUAGCAGUGAAAUGCGUAGAGAUGUGGAGGAACACCGAUGGCGAGGGCAGCCCCCUGGGCCGAUACUGACGCUCAUGCACGAAAGCGUGGGGAGCAAACAGGAUUAGAUACCCUGGUAGUCCACGCCCUAAACGAUGUCAACUAGUUGUUGGG